CAGCAGUAGCCACGGUAAUACGGAGGGGGCUAGCGUUGUUCGGAAUUACUGGGCGUAAAGCGCACGUAGGCGGCUUGGUAAGUUAGAGGUGAAAGCCUGGAGCUCAACUCCAGAAUUGCCUUUAAGACUGCCGAGCUAGCAGGUGAGAGAGGUAAGUGGAAUUCCGAGUGUAGAGGUGAAAUUCGUAGAUAUUCGGAAGAACACCAGUGGCGAAGGCGGCUUACUGGCUCAUACUGGACGCUGAGGUGCGAAAGCGUGGGGAGCAAACAGGAUUAGAUACCCCGGUAGUCCCUGUCUCUUAUAC
rnacentral:rRNA from 1 species